GAAUUUUCGAUAAAGGAAUCAUUAUGGAAACCUACACUGCUGGAUCGUGGAACUAUGUCCCUCAGUAACUGAGACGGAUAACUGAUUCCGAGUGUUGGCAAUGAUUUCGUGGAUAACGUCAAACUUCAUAAUCGUCGCAGGCAACAGACUCUGCGUACCGAAUGAGCAUGGCAUUCCUGGUGGAAAUGAUGUAACCGUUACGGUUCGACUUCCUGCUAAUGUUCGAUGCACUAUCAGAUUUACGCACCGAACAUUCUAUCCGUAGUCACCUGAAUGGGCUCAGGAUAAUUGCUUUACUCCGCUUCCUACACAAACGUUCAGGAACUGUGCCGAUGUCAGAAUUGUUUAAUGCGGAUCCAAAUGUUAAUUCGAAUGCAGAGCUAGACUGACGCGAUGUUAAUA